UUGUAUACCAUUUUCUUGUAGAAAAAUAAAAAAGAAUUCAAGAGUGGGUGAGAUAUGCCUAAGAGUACCUCAAAAAGACUUGUAGUGAUGGCGGGAUUGAUAAUGCUUGUGGUAAUAACAACAUAUGCUGAACAACUCAAAGACUGUCCAAGUCAUCUCCAUCGCCAUCGACCGCUCCAACCCUUUCUAUCUUUUGCAAAGGAUCCAAAAGCAAGUCUAAUCAAAAGAGGGAUUUGUUGUGCUACCAAAUGUGUUGCUUGGAGCUAUUACAAAGGAAUCGUUCCUAGAGUGUAUUUUGGCCAUGUUAAACAUUGUUGUAAUCAAUUCUGCGUGCCCGGCAAGUGGAUUUGAUCGAUAUGGAAGAAGUGGAAUUUCGUGGAAAUCUACAACAACUAUUAGCAAUUUCUCAAGAUUGCGCCUGUUCUACCACAUGAGAAAACACGUGCUCCAUGUAUAUGUAUUAAGAAUAAAGGAAAGACAGUGAGAUGGAUCAAAUAGUCUUUAAUUAGUUUCACUUGUAAUAACUAAUGUAAGAGUUGUGCCUAUUUUAUCCUAGCUAUAAUGUCUGCAGCAUAUGUUUAUUUC